rnacentral:rRNA from 1 species
UACGUAGGGUCCGAGCGUUGUCCGGAAUUAUUGGGGCGUAAAGGGCUCGUAGGCGGUUCGUCACGUCGGGAGUGAAAACUCGGGGCUUAACCCCGAGCCUGCUUCCGAUACGGGCAGACUAGAGAUAGGCAGAGGAGAGCGGAACUCCUGGUGUAGCGGUGAAAUGCGCAGAUAUCAGGAGGAACACCAAUGGCGAAGGCAGCUCGCUGGGACGGUACUGACGCUGAGGAGCGAAAGCGUGGGGAGCAAACAGG